GAUGAACGCUAGCGGCAGGCUUAACACAUGCAAGUCGAGGGGCAGCAUAAUGGUAGCAAUACUAUUGAUGGCGACCGGCGGACGGGUGCGUAACGCGUAUGCAACCUACCCUUUACAGGGGGAUAACACUGAGAAAUCGGUACUAAUACCCCAUAAUAUUCUGGGAGGCAUCUUUCGGAGUUGAAAGCUUUGGUGGUAAAGGAUGGGCAUGCGUUGUAUUAGCUAGUUGGUAAGGUAACGGCUUACCAAGGCGACGAUACAUAGGGGGACUGAGAGGUUAACCCCCCACAUUGGUACUGAGACACGGACCAAACUCCUACGGGAGGCAGCAGUGAGGAAUAUUGGUCAAUGGACGGAAGUCUGAACCAGCCAUGCCGCGUGCAGGAAGACGGCUCUAUGAGUUGUAAACUGCUUUUGUACGAGGGUAAACGCAGAUACGCGUAUCUGCCUGAAAGUAUCGUACGAAUAAGGAUCGGCUAACUCCGUGCCAGCAGCCGCGGUAAUACGGAGGAUCCAAGCGUUAUCCGGAUUUAUUGGGUCUAAAGGGUGCGUAGGCGGUUUAGUAAGUCAGCGGUGAAAUUUUGGUGCUUAACACCAAACGUGCCGUUGAUACUGCUGGGCUAGAGAGUAGUUGCGGUAGGCGGAAUGUAUGGUGUAGCGGUGAAAUGCUUAGAGAUCAUACAGAACACCGAUUGCGAAGGCAGCUUACCAAACUAUAUCUGACGUUGAGGCACGAAAGCGUGGGGAGCAAACAGGAUUAGAUACCCUGGUAGUCCACGCAGUAAACGAUGAUAGCUCGUUGUCGGCGAUACACAGUCGGUGACUAAGAGAAAUCGAUAAGCUAUCCACCUGGGGAGUACGUUCGCAAGAAUGAAACUCAAAGGAAUUGACGGGGGCCCGCACAAGCGGAGGAACAUGUGGUUUAAUUCGAUGAUACGCGAGGAACCUUACCCGGGCUUGAAAGUUACUGACGAUUCUGGAAACAGGAUUUCCCUUCGGGGCAGGAAACUAGGUGCUGCAUGGUUGUCGUCAGCUCGUGCCGUGAGGUGUCGGGUUAAGUCCCAUAACGAGCGCAACCCCUACUGAUAGUUGCCAUCAGA
rnacentral:rRNA from 1 species